CUGAAGAGGACCUAAUUGGAUUGGAUGAUGACAGUGACAUAGUCGUUGUAACACUAAAUUAUGACAACACUGAAGAAGUUGUACAGGACGAUCUCAGCAGUCCCUUUGGACACGGUUCCCCGAUACUGUUGCCUUCAGCCAGGAGUCUCUUCUCAUCACAAAUGCAAACCAGUAAUAUGGAGGCAGGACAAACUGGCCAGGACUCUGGCUUGAUUCCACCCGAAGAUU